GGGGGGGUUGGUGGGUGGGUAGAAGGAGAGAAGGAGACUAGGUUCUGCUUUCUUGGGCCUCAGACAAGGUGGGUCUUUUCUAGGUUGUGCACUUUGGAUUAGGAUCCUAAAGAGAAGAAUCAGGUCGGGGAGAGAUUGCUCACCAGCCCUAACAGUGAGCCGCAGCUUACAGUUCACAAAGACUCUUGACACCGACUGUCCAUUUUCAUUCAUGAUCGUCAGAGCAGACGCACGGAAAAGACAAACGGCGUGAAGUAUAUGAGCAGCAGGCUGAGGGGCAGGUCGGUGAAGUGCUCGGCACGCAAGCAUGUGGACUUGAAUCUGGACCGCGUAACCAACACAGGUAAAAGCUCCUAGAGUGUUGGUGUAUGUGUGUGAUGCCAGCACCGGAGAGGCAGAGACAGGAGGAUCUCUGAAGCUCACUGAUUGGCCAGACUAGAAUACUUGGCAAACCCUAGGUUAAUAAGAGACCCAGUCUCCAAAACCCAGGUUAGGGUGACUCUCCCUUGAGCCUGCACCCACUCUUGGGUGCGUCUUACUGUCUGAGACUCCAGUCGGAGAAGCCCACAC
rnacentral:lncRNA from 1 species